rnacentral:rRNA from 1 species
GCGAACGCUGGCGGCAGGCUUAACACAUGCAAGUCGAACGGGUAUCUUCGGAUACUAGUGGCAGACGGGUGAGUAACACGUGGGAACGUACCUUUCGGUUCGGAAUAAUACAGGGAAACUUGUACUAAUACCGGAUACGCCCUUCGGGGGAAAGAUUUAUCGCCGAUAGAUCGGCCCGCGUCUGAUUAGCUAGUUGGUGAGGUAAUGGCUCACCAAGGCGACGAUCAGUAGCUGGUCUGAGAGGAUGAUCAGCCACACUGGGACUGAGACACGGCCCAGACUCCUACGGGAGGCAGCAGUGGGGAAUAUUGGACAAUGGGCGCAAGCCUGAUCCAGCCAUGCCGCGUGUGUGAUGAAGGCCUUAGGGUUGUAAAGCUCUUUUACCAGGGAUGAUAAUGACAGUACCUGGAGAAUAAGCUCCGGCUAACUCCGU